AGUGAACGCUGGCGGUAGGCCUAACACAUGCGAGUCGAACGGCAGCACAGUAAGAGCUUGCUCUUACGGGUGGCGAGUGGCGGACGGGUGAGGAAUACAUCGGAAUCUACUUUUUCGUGGGGGAUAACGUAGGGAAACUUACGCUAAUACCGCAUACGACCUGCGGGUGAAAGCAGGGGAUCUUCGGACCUUGCGCGAUUGAAUGAGCCGAUGUCGGAUUAGCUAGUUGGCGGGGUAAAGGCCCACCAAGGCGACGAUCCGUAGAUGGUCUGAGAGGAUGAUAGGCCGCACUGGAACUGGGACACGGUCCAGACUCCUACGGGAGGCAGCAGUGGGGAAUAUUGGACAAUGAGCGCAAGCCUGAUCCAGCCAUACCGCGUGGGUGAAGAAGGCCUUCGGGUUGUAAAGCCCUUUUGUUGGGAAAGAAAAGCAGCAGGUUAAUACCCCGCUGUUCUGACGGUACCCAAAGAAUAAGCACCGGCUAACUUCGUG
rnacentral:rRNA from 1 species